rnacentral:tRNA from 1 species
GGUCAGGGGCCUAGAGGCCGACUCUGCGCGCCACGUUCGCAACGUGGAAGUCGGCGGUUCGAAUCCGCUCACCUCCA